rnacentral:lncRNA from 1 species
AGAAUCAAAUUUUUCAGUGAGAGAAUUCAUGAUUUUCUCAAUCACUGUUUGUUCUGUGAUCUCUUUGCCAUAAGCCUUCAUUUGAUUGACAAGUUCAAUAAUUCUUGAAGAGAAAUUUUUUAUGGAUUCUCCUUCUUUCAUGCAGAGAUUCUCAAAAUCUCUUCUUAGAGUUUGAACUCUAACUGCUCGAACUUUGGCGGCGCCUUGAAAUUCGUCCCGCAACGUCUCCCAUGCUUGCUUUGCUGAAGUAGAAUUCAUGAUU